CAAAAAAUGUCGACUUGGAGGUUGUUCCCUUGAGGAGUGGCUUCCGGAGCUAACGCGUUAAGUCGACCGCCUGGGGAGUACGGCCGCAAGGUUAAAACUCAAAUGAAUUGACGGGGGCCCGCACAAGCGGUGGAGCAUGUGGUUUAAUUCGAUGCAACGCGAAGAACCUUACCUGGUCUUGACAUCCACAGAAUUCUGCAGAGAUGCGGAAGUGCCUUCGGGAACUGUGAGACAGGUGCUGCAUGGCUGUCGUCAGCUCGUGUUGUGAAAUGUUGGGUUAAGUCCCGCAACGAGCGCAACCCUUAUCCUUUGUUGCCAGCGGUUAGGCCGGGAACUCAAAGGAGACUGCCAGUGAUAAACUGGAGGAAGGUGGGGAUGACGUCAAGUCAUCAUGGCCCUUACGACCAGGGCUACACACGUGCUACAAUGGCAUAUACAAAGAGAAGCGACCUCGCGAGAGCAAGCGGACCUCAUAAAGUAUGUCGUAGUCCGGAUCGGAGUCUGCAACUCGACUCCGUGAAGUCGGAAUCGCUAGUAAUCGUGGAUCAGAAUGCCACGGUGAAUACGUUCCCGGGCCUUGUACACACCGCCCGUCACACCAUGGGAGUGGGUUGCAAAAGAAGUAGGUAGCUUAACCUUCGGGAGGGCGCUUACCACUUUGUGAUUCAUGACUGGGGUGAAGUCGUACAAGGGGUAACCCAACGGGGGGGGGCCCGGGGGGGGGGCCUAGGGGGG
rnacentral:rRNA from 1 species